rnacentral:rRNA from 1 species
UACGUAGGUGGCAAGCGUUGUCCGGAAUCACUGGGCGUAAAGCGCGCGCAGGCGACGAUCUACGUCUGGGGUGAAAGCCCGGAGCUCAACUCCGGGACUGCCUUGGAUACGGGAUCGCUUGAGGAUUGGAGAGGCAAGGGGAAUUCCACGUGUAGCGGUGAAAUGCGUAGAUAUGUGGAGGAACACCUGUGGCGAAGGCGCCUUGCUGGCCAAUUUCUGACGCUGAGGCGCGAAAGCGUGGGGAGCAAACAGG